ACACUCCUGCGGGAGGCAGCAGUGGGGAAUUUUGGACAAUGGGCGAAAGCCUGAUCCAGCAAUGCCGCGUGAGUGAAGAAGGCCUUCGGGUUGUAAAGCUCUUUUGUCAGGGAAGAAACGGUGAGAGCUAAUAUCUUUUGCUAAUGACGGUACCUGAAGAAUAAGCACCGGCUAACUACGUGCCAGCAGCCGCGGUAAUACGUAGGGUGCAAGCGUUAAUCGGAAUUACUGGGCGUAAAGCGUGCGCAGGCGGUUUUGUAAGUCUGAUGUGAAAUCCCCGGGCUCAACCUGGGAAUUGCAUUGGAGACUGCAAGGCUAGGAUCUGGCAGAGGGGGGUAGAAUUCCACGUGUAGCAGUGAAAUGCGUAGAUAUGUGGAGGAACACCGAUGGCGAAGGCAGCCCCCUGGGUCAAGAUUGACGCUCAUGCACGAAAGCGUGGGGAGCAAACAGGAUUAGAAACCCCGGAAGUCCC
rnacentral:rRNA from 1 species